rnacentral:rRNA from 1 species
UACGUAGGGGGCAAGCGUUGUCCGGAUUUAUUGGGCGUAAAGAGCGUGUAGGCGGCUUGACAGGUCUGCUGUGAAAACUCGAGGCUCAACCUCGAGAUGUCGGCGGAAACCGUCUGGCUAGAGUCCGGAAGAGGAGAGUGGAAUUCCUGGUGUAGCGGUGAAAUGCGCAGAUAUCAGGAAGAACACCUAUGGCGAAGGCAGCUCUCUGGGACGGUACUGACGCUGAGGUGCGAAAGCGUGGGGAGCAAACAGG